rnacentral:rRNA from 1 species
AUACGUAGGGAGCGAGCGUUGUCCGGAAUUACUGGGUGUAAAGGGAGCGUAGGCGGGAUCGCAAGUCAGAUGUGAAAUACAUGGGCUUAACCCAUGGGCUGCAUUUGAAACUGUGGUUCUUGAGUGAAGUAGAGGUAAGCGGAAUUCCUGGUGUAGCGGUGAAAUGCGUAGAUAUCAGGAGGAACACCGGUGGCGAAGGCGGCUUACUGGGCUUUUACUGACGCUGAGGCUCGAAAGCGUGGGGAGCAAACAGGAUUAGAUACCCUGGUAGUCCACGUUGUAAACGAUGAUUACUAGGUGUGGGGGGACUGACCCCUUCCGUGCCGCAGUUAACACAAUAAGUAAUCCACCUGGGGAGUACGGCCGCAAGGUUGAAACUCAAAUGAAUUGACGGGG